rnacentral:misc_RNA from 1 species
UCCGAGUUGACCCCGGCAGUCUCCCACGAGUCCCCGACAUAACCCGCUGGCAACAUGGGAUAAGGGUUGCGCUCGUUGCGGGACUUAACCCAACAUCUCACGGCACGAGCUGACGACAGCCAUGCACCACCUGCACACAGGCCACAAGGGAACCGACAUCUCUGCCGGCGUCCUGUGCAUGUCAAGCCCAGGUAAGGUUCCUCGCGUAUCAUCGAAUUAAACCACAUGCUCCGCUGCUUGUGCGGGCCCCCGUCAAUUCCUUUGAGUUUUAGCCUUGCGGCCGUACUCCCCAGGCGGGGCACUUAAUGCGUUAGCUGCGGCACGGAAGGAGUCGACACCUCCCACACCUAGUGCCCAUCGUUUACGGCGUGGACUAC